rnacentral:rRNA from 1 species
ACGAACGCUGGCGACGUGCUUAACACAUGCAAGUCGAACGGAAAGGCCUCUUUCGGGGGGUACUCGAGUGGCGAACGGGUGAGUAACACGUGAGUAACCUGCCCUUGACUUUGGGAUAACUUCAGGAAACUGGGGCUAAUACCGGAUAGGAGCUCCUGCUGCAUGGUGGGGGUUGGAAAGUUUCGGCGGUUGGGGAUGGACUCGCGGCUUAUCAGCUUGUUGGUGGGGUAGUGGCUUACCAAGGCUUUGACGGGUAGCCGGCCUGAGAGGGUGACCGGCCACAUUGGGACUGAGAUACGGCCCAGACUCCUACGGGAGGCAGCAGGGGGGAAUAUUGCACAAUGGGUGGAAGCCUGAUGCAGCAACGCCGUGUGCGGGAUGACGGCCUUCGGGUUGUAAACCGCUUUCGCUCAUGACGAAGCUUUGUGUGACGGUAGUGGGUAAAGAAGCACCGGCUAACUACGUG